rnacentral:rRNA from 1 species
GACGAACGCUGGCGGCGUGCUUAACACAUGCAAGUCGAACGGAAAGGCCCUGCUUUUGUGGGGUGCUCGAGUGGCGAACGGGUGAGUAACACGUGAGUAACCUGCCCUUGACUUUGGGAUAACUUCAGGAAACUGGGGCUAAUACCGGAUAGGAGCUCCUGCUGCAUGGUGGGGGUUGGAAAGUUUCGGCGGUUGGGGAUGGACUCGCGGCUUAUCAGCUUGUUGGUGGGGUAGUGGCUUACCAAGGCUUUGACGGGUAGCCGGCCUGAGAGGGUGACCGGCCACAUUGGGGCUGGGGAAAGGCCCAGACCCCUACGGGGGGCAGCAGGGGGGAAUAUUGCACAAUGGGCGGAAGGCUGAUGCAGCAACGCCGCGGGCGGGAUUGCGGCCUUCCGGUUGGAAACCGGUUUCGCCUUGGACGAAGGGUGGGUGGCGGUUAUUGGGAAAGAAACAACGGGCAAAUACGGUC